GACACCUUACACAGAGUGCCUAGCCUUA
rnacentral:piRNA from 1 species